rnacentral:rRNA from 1 species
CCUCCUUUGUUCCUCAUUUCUUCAUAUUUUUCCCUUUCCUCUCUUCUGCCCCAGCCAAGUAUCGUGAAGGAUGACUGCCCUAUGGGUUGUAAACUUCUUUUAUAUGGGAAUAAAACGUUCCACGUGUGGGAUUUUGUAUGUACCAUAUGAAUAAGGAUCGGCUAACUCCGUGCCAGCAGCCGCGGUAAUACGGAGAAUCCGAGCGUUAUCCGGAUUUAUUUGGUUUAACGGGAGCGUAGGUGGAUUGUUAAGUCAGUUGUGAAAGUUUGCGGGUCAACCGUAAAAUUGCCGUUGAAACUGGCAGUCUUGAGUACAGUAGAGGUGGGCGGAAUGCGUGGUGUAGCGGUGAAAUGCUUAGAUAUCACGAAGAACUCCGAUUGCGAAGGCAGUUCACUGGACUGUAACUGACGUUGAGGCUCGAAAGCGUGGGGAGCAAACAGGAUUAGAUACCCCAGUAGUC